rnacentral:rRNA from 1 species
UAAACCAGGAUUAGAUACCCUAUUAUGCCUAGCCCUAAACAUUGAUAAUAACCUACUUAUUUUAUCCGCCCGGGUACUACGAGCGUCAGCUUGAAACCCAAAGGACUUGGCGGUGCUUUAGAUCCACCUAGAGGAGCCUGUUCUAGAACCGAUAAUCCCCGUUAAACCUCACCUUUCCUUGUCAUUUCCGCCUAUAUACCGCCGUCGUCAGCUUACUCUGUGAAGAGCCUGUAGUAAGCACAACUGGUAAAGCCUAAAACGCCAGGUCGAGGUGUAGCGAAUGGAAAGGGAAGAAAUGGGCUACAUUCAAUAUUUAAUAAUGAACACGAAUGAUAUCAUGAAAGAGAUAUCUGAAGGAGGAUUUAGCAGUAAGUAGAGAAUAGAGCGCUCUACUGAAACCGGCCUAAGCGC